CAAACCAUGAUGAAAAGACAACAGGAAGUGGUAGGAGGAUGAUGGUGCAGCAUGGUUUUUAAUGACAUUGCAUGAGAAACUUAUUCAUAUGGGAUUUUAAUUGCGUUUCUUAUUUAAUGGCAACACAACAGUUAUGAAAUUGUUG